CACAACACGGGAAGAGGAGGAGGAGGAGGAGGAAGAGAGAGAAAGACAGAACUAAAAACCCUUGAAGGAUGGCUCUCCAAAAUUCCUGGCGGAACCACGGGGAAUCCCUGGUAGCGCGGGAGCAGAGCUGCUUUCUGGAUUUAUCCUGAACGAGAAGAGGAAUUACUGAAUUAAAACCCAGGCAGGGAGUGUCCUGUGUUAGAUGCUACAGUCCAGAAGUCGUUCAGAAAUGGCUCUGACCUGGAGAGUUUGUACUGACUUCUUCUGGUCUGAAUAGGAACCAUUCCCCUGCUCCACUCAUCAGCACCAGAUCCUGCGACAUCUCCACGUUCCCACAGUGAGGUAGGAUAACCUUGCCAAAGAGGAAAGGAAUUUGGACAGACUUAACAUCCAGCCUGUGCAGCUUCCACGAGCUGGACGCUAAAAUGAAGAGAGAGUUUAUUCAUUCCCAUCUCAGCACAGCCCACCAGAAUUAAAGGACAUUUUAACCUACAAGGGAGAUUGGGUCAAAGACUUCCCAACCUGCCUACAUAGAGAAGGCUGUUCAAUUCCUCUGGCUACCAAGUCUCCACAUUUCUGUGUUGGAUGUGAAGAGUAAAGGGAGUCUGGCAGGAAUCAGGAGGCAUCCAGGUCAGCCUAAGAGACUGCACCAGAUCUGAGUCCGGGCGCUUCCUGCUCCGGCGACCGCCAGCCCCGCCGCCCGCUCCGCUCCGCGCCCGCCG